AGUGGUUUGGAUGUGGGGGUUUGCUGGCCUUGUUUAAAGGGUUCAGCUCUCCUGAAAUGCAUUAGCAGAACAGCCCUGUUCAUUGGUGUGAUAACUAUCUACGCUAUUGAAUGUGAGGGGAAGUUCAGCUUUCUAACCGUCCUUGGACAAUUCAUCAUUAAUGUGACCUCAAAUCAGGUAGGACUACCCGCUGAACUUAA
rnacentral:misc_RNA from 1 species